AAGAAGGGGGCAAGCGGUAAUCGGAAUUACUGGGCGUAAAGCGCGCGUAGGUGGUUCGUUAAGUUGGAUGUGAAAGCCCCGGGCUCAACCUGGGAACUGCAUCCAAAACUGGCGAGCUAGAGUACGGUAGAGGGUGGUGGAAUUUCCUGUGUAGCGGUGAAAUGCGUAGAUAUAGGAAGGAACACCAGUGGCGAAGGCGACCACCUGGACUGAUACUGACACUGAGGUGCGAAAGCGUGGGGAGCAAACAGGAUUAGAUACCCGUGUGGUCC
rnacentral:rRNA from 1 species